CUGCACAAUUUUUUUCAUCUUUCUUGCACAACGUCCGUUUACUUACUACAAGUAAUGAGUACUAUGUACGACGGUCAGUUUCUCUUUUACGAGAGA
rnacentral:ncRNA from 1 species